GAGUUCGAUCCUGGCUCAGGAUGAACGCUAGCUACAGGCUUAACACAUGCAAGUCGAGGGGCAUCAUUUCGAAAGCUUGCUUUUGAAGAUGGCGACCGGCGCACGGGUGAGUAACGCGUAUCCAACCUUCCCCUUAGUAGGGCAUAGCCCGGCGAAAGUCGGAUUAAUACCCUAUGUUCUUUACGGAUGGCAUCUGAAGUAAAGCAAAGAUUUAUCGCUAAGGGAUGGGGAUGCGUCUGAUUAGGUUGUUGGCGGGGUAACGGCCCACCAAGCCUACGAUCAGUAGGGGUUCUGAGAGGAAGGUCCCCCACAUUGGUACUGAGCCAUGAUCAAACUC
rnacentral:rRNA from 1 species